rnacentral:ncRNA from 10 species
CCCUCACAUCACGAGUGGCUCGGUUUUCCGGGCUCGGCAACCUGGGGCGAACACCCAAGGUGCCAACCCACCUUUGGUGGGGAUGCGGCUUCCACCUUCCGGUGUCGGCAACAACCAGUUCGAGG